rnacentral:lncRNA from 1 species
AUGCCCCGGUCCCGCCCCGCGCCUCCCGGUUACCCCCGCCCCGCUCUCCCCCCGCAGGAAGGAACCGCCGAGCCGGCACCGGGCGCGGUUUCCCGUCGCUGCGUGAGCUACGGGCUGAGCCCCUCCUCGAACCUCCGGAGGGACUCACCCCCGGGACCCGGGGCACCCCUCUACCCCCGCCACCCCCGCACCCCGACAGCACCCCCGUCCCGGACCCCCAGCCCCUCUACCCCCGCGACACCCGCCCCACUCCGGGGUCACCGUAGGACCCUCCCCGCCGACAGCUGGGGUGAACCCCCCAUCCCGCACGGCUUCCCAGGGCGCCCCCGGGAGGGUCGCGGGGUGCACUCCCCCCUGCAUGGUUCCCCCGGGGGGCUGACCUGGGGGUCCCCGGCAGCGCCCAGCGCGUCAAUGGCCGGAAGUGGGUGGAAGCAGCGGGAAAUGGGGGGGUCCCGCAGGACAUCCGCCCCACGGCCGGGGGGCUGGGGCCGGCCCGGGAACCCCCCGGGGCAUCCAAUCGCCCGCUGCAAAGGUGGGGGGGCACAGUGUUCUGUCGCCAGGAUGGGGGUCCCUGCCACCAGCGCGGCCCCCCAGGUGCUGUGUGUCCCCCAUCAGCGUUGUGUCGUCCCUCUGGGUGUCAUCGCUGUGUCCCCAGGGUGCCAUGUCCACCACAGUGCCAUGUGUAUGUUCCCCCGGCGCCGUGCGUGUCCCCCCAGUUCCGUGUCCCCCGUGGGUGUCAUGUCCUCUUCAGUGCUGUGUCCCCCCUCUGGCUAUCAUGCGUGCCCCCCAGGGCCACAUAUCCCCCCCAGUUCCACGUUCCCUCCAGGACUGUGUCUCACCCGGGUGUCAUGUGUGUUCCCAAGUCCCCCCGAGGGCCAUGUCCCCGCCACGAGUGCCGUGUCCCCUCUCUGGGUACCAUCGUUCCCUCGCCAUGGCCGUAUGCCAGGGGGCCGGGGGUCACACUGGGUUCGACGCCUCCGCUGGGGUCGCCGGUGCGUCCCACGCCGCGUGGCGGUGGCGGUGACGGUGGAGGUGGCGGUGCCCAUUGUGUGCGGGGCGGGGGCGUCGCGGCCUCGUCACCACUUCCCCGGGCAGUAG